GCCCACAGCCAUAUCACCCUGCAGCCCAAGAUACUCACUGAAGACAAGCAGGACUGAGCCUGGUCAGUACCUAGAUGGGUGACCACUUGGGAAAACUAGGUUACUGUUGGAA
rnacentral:rRNA from 1 species